UUCAGAAGAAGAUUACUGCUGGGGAAUCUUUCACAUGUCCUAUUCAUAAAUGCUCUGUCUACAAACUGGGUGAAGAUAAGAUGGAUCCUGAUUUGCAAUUUGCUGUAUGCAGGCGCUGUCCCAAGUCAUUUCACAAAAAAUGCUUGCCUACGAAGAUUGCUUUUGAAGAUGAUGAGGAUCAGGGCAUCGUACAAAGGGCUUGGGAAGGUCUUAUUCCAAACCGUAUUUUGAUAUAUUGCUUUGAGUGGAUCUGCAACAAAAGUUGGGAAGUCUACCACCAAUGCGAAUAGGGCUUCCUUGGGAGAGAGGUUGUAUGCCUUGAUUAACAAGGAUUCUAGGAACGAGGACACAUCUGAUAGUGAACAUAAGCAAACCCUGCCUGACAAGCGUGUUGGAAAGGAAAUGAGCAGUUCAGUGCCUCUAGAUGAUAAUAGAAAACGGAGG